rnacentral:tRNA from 1 species
GAGUAUGCGCCGAAGCAGGAGAGUCGGGGCGGUCUGUAAAACCGUUGUUCAUACUGAGUAGGUUCGAAUCCUAUCAUACCCA